rnacentral:rRNA from 1 species
GACGAACGCUGGCGGCGUGCCUAAUACAUGCAAGUCGAGCGAACGGACGAGAAGUUGGUUCCUCGGAUGUUUUCGGCAGACGUGUGAGUAACACGUGUAUAAUGUAUCUAUAAGACUGGGAUAACUUCGGGAAACUGUAUCUAAUACCGUAUAAGAAUUUGAACCGUAUGGUUCAAUAGUAAAAUGCGGUCUUGUCGUUACUUAUAGAUGGAUCGUCGUUGCAUUAGGUAGUUGGUAUGGUAGCGGCUUACAAAGACAACAAUGCAUAGCCCUCCUGAGAGGGUGAUCGGCAACACUGGAACUGGGAAACGGUCCAGACUCCUACGGGAGGAGGAGGUAGGGAACCUUCGGCAAUGGGCGAAAGCCUGACGGAGAAACGCCGCGUGGGUGAUGAAGGUCUUCGGAUCGUAAAACUCUGUUAUUGGGGAGGAACAUAUGUGUAAGUAACUGUGCACAUCUUGACGGUACCUAAUCAGAAAGCCACGGCUAACUACGUG